UACGGAGGGAGCUAGCGUUGUUCGGAAUUACUGGGCGUAAAGCGCACGUAGGCGGAUUGCUAAGUCAGGGGUGAAAUCCCGGGGCUCAACCUCGGAACUGCCUUUGAUACUGACAAUCUCGAGUCCGAUAGAGGUGGGUGGAAUUCCUAGUGUAGAGGUGAAAUUCGUAGAUAUUAGGAAGAACACCGGUGGCGAAGGCGGCCCACUGGAUCGGUACUGACGCUGAGGUGCGAAAGCGUGGGGAGCAAACAGG
rnacentral:rRNA from 1 species